rnacentral:snoRNA from 1 species
ACGACCUUACUUGAACAGGAUCUGUUCUAUAGGCUCGUACCUCUGUAAAAUGACGGGAUGAGUCAGCUCUACUGGUUAGAGU